UACGUAGGGGGCGAGCGUUGUCCGGAUUCAUUGGGCGUAAAGAGCUCGUAGGCGGUUCGGCAAGUCGGGUGUGAAAACUCCAGGCUCAACCUGGAGACGCCACCCGAUACUGCUGUGACUUGAGUCCGGUAGGGGACCACGGAAUUCCUGGUGUAGCGGUGAAAUGCGCAGAUAUCAGGAGGAAUACCGGUGGCGAAGGCGGCAUCCUGGACCGGCAUUGACGCUGAUGAGCGAAAGCUAGGGGAGCAAACGGG
rnacentral:rRNA from 1 species